rfam:Rhodobacteraceae bacterium EhC02 A5_Contig38, whole genome shotgun sequence.
GCGGAGGGCUGGAUGAUCGCGGGUCGGGGUCUAUCGAUCCGAGGAAAGUCCGGACUCCACAAGGCAAUGGUGCCGGGUAACGCCCGGCUGGGGAAACCCAAGGGAAAGCGCCACAGAGAACAGACCGCCGCGUUCCGGCGCGGUAAGGGUGAAACGGUGGGGUAAGAGCCCACCGCGGGACUGGCAACAGGACCGGCACGGCAAGCCCCACCAGGAGCAAUGCCGAAUAGGGACCUCGCGCGGGUUGAUCGGUUCGCCGAUAUCACCGCAGGGCAGGCUUUGACCCAGAGGUCCGGGUUGGCAGCUAGAGGGGUCGCGGUAACGCGAUCUCAAGAUGAAUGAUCAUCCAGAGGGGGAAACCCCUUGGACAAAAUCCGGCUUACAGGCCCUCCGCGCGC